UCGAACGGAGUUAUCAUUUUUGAAGCAAAUAGCUUGCUAGGAGUGGAGAUAUUGAUAACUUAGUGGCGGACGGGUGAGUAACGCGUGGGUAACCUGCCGUAUACAGGGGGAUAACACUUAGAAAUAGGUGCUAAUACCGCAUAAGCGCACGGUUCCGCAUGGGACAGUGUGAAAAACCGAGGUGGUAUACGAUGGACCCGCGUCUGAUUAGCCAGUUGGCAGGGUAACGGCCUACCAAAACGACGAUCAGUAGCCGGCCUGAGAGGGCGGACGGCCACAUUGGGACUGAGACACGGCCCAAACUCCUACGGGAGGCAGCAGUGGGGGAUAUUGCACAAUGGGGGAAACCCUGAUGCAGCGACGCCGCGUGAGUGAAGAAGUAUUUCGGUAUGUAAAGCUCUAUCAGCAGGGAAGAAGAUGACAGUACCUGAGUAGGAAGCCCCGGCUAACUACGUGCCAGCAGCCGCGGUAAUACGUAGGGGGCAAGCGUUAUCCGGAUUUACUGGGUGUAAAGGGAGCGUAGACGGCGAUGCAAGUCUGAAGUGAAAGCCCGCGGCUCAACUGCGGGACUGCUUUGGGAACUGUGCAUCUUGAGUACGGGAGGGGCAGGCGGAA
rnacentral:rRNA from 1 species